GAGAGUUAAACAGUACGUGAAAUUGUUGAAAGGGAAACGAUUGAAGUCAGUCAUGCUAGUGAAAAUUCAGUUUGACGGGUUUUGGGUUUGGGAGUAGAGGCAGGGUCAAACCGUUUCUCUUUUAAACUUGGGAUUUGUCAGAUGCACUUUUUCUUUGGCAGGUCAGCGUCGAUUUCGGAGGUUGUAAAAUAAUCGGGGUAAAGUAACUCUGCUUCGGUAGAGUAUUAUAGACCCUGAGGGAUGCAGCUUGCGGGAUUGAGGAUUGCAACGGAUACCCUUCGGGGCUACCUGUCUGAUCUCUGAUUGUUGCUCUGGUGCCGAAAGCUUGCUUACGGUUAUCAAAGUCGAUGGUCAAUAGGUUAGAAUGGGUUAAAUUCGUUAAGGAUGUUGACGUAAUGACUUUAAACGA
rnacentral:rRNA from 1 species